AUUGAACGCUGGCGGCAGGCUUAACACAUGCAAGUCGAACGAGCGGCGGACGGGUGAGUAAUGUCUUGGAAACUGCCUGAUGUACGGGGAUAACUACUGGAAACGGUAGCUAAUACCGCAUACCAUCAGAUCGGCCCAUAUGGGAUUAGCUAGUAGGUGGGGUAAUGGCUCACCUAGGCGACGAUCCCUAGCUGGUCUGAGAGGAUGACCAGCCACACUGGGACUGAGACACGGUCCAGACUCCUACGGGAGGCAGCAGUGGGGAAUAUUGCACAAUGGGCGCAAGUCUGAUGCAGCCAUGCCGCGUGUGUGAAGAAGGCCUUCGGGUUGUAAAGCACUUUCAGCGAGGAGGCGUUACUCGCAGAAGAAGCACCGGCUAACUCCGUGCCAGCAGCCGCGGUAAUAC
rnacentral:rRNA from 1 species